rnacentral:rRNA from 1 species
ACAGGUGAGUAAUGUCUCCCAAACUGGGUGAUGGAGGGGGAUAACUACUCGAAACGGUAGCUAAUACCGCAUAAUGUCGCAAGACCAAAGUGGGGGACCUUCGGGCCUCAUGCCAUCAGAUGUGCCCAGAUGGGAUUAGCUAGUAGGUGGACGAUCCCUACACCUAGGCGACGAUCCCUAGCUGGUCUGAGAGGAUGACCAGCCACACUGGAACUGAGACACGGUCCAGACUCCUACGGGAGGCAGCAGUGGGGAAUAUUGCACAAUGGGCGCAAGCCUGAUGCAGCCAUGCCGCGUGUGUGAAGAAGGCCUUCGGGUUGUAAAGCACUUUCAGCGGGGAGGAAGGCGGUGAGGUUAAUAACCUUGUCGAUUGACGUUACCCGCAGAAGACGAGUGGCGGAACUCCGUGCCAGCAGCCGCGGUAAUACGGAGGGUGCAAGCGUUAAUCGGAAUUACUGGGCGUAAAGCGCACGCAGGCGGUCUGUCAAGUCGGAUGUGAAAUCCCCGGGCUCAACCUGGGAACUGCAUUCGAAACUGGCAGGCUAGAGUCUUGUAGAGGGCGGUAGCACACCAGGUGUAGCGGUGAAAUGCGUAGAGAUCUGGAGGAAUACCGGUGGCGAAGGCGGCCCCCUGGACAAAGACUGACGCUCAGGUGCGAAAGCGUGGGGAGCAAACAGGAUUAGAUACCCUGGUAGUCCACGCUGGUCUGAAUGUCGAUUUGGAGGUUGUGCCCUUGAGGCGUGGCUUCCGGAGCUAACGCGUUAAAUCGACCGCCUGGGGAGUACGGCCGCAAGGUUAAAACUCAAAUGAAUUGACGGGGGCCCGCACAAGCGGUGGAGCAUGUGGUUUAAUUCGAUGCAACGCGAAGAACCUUACCUGGUCUUGACAUCCACAGAACUUUCCAGAGAUGGAUUGGUGCCUUCGGGAACUGUGAGACAGGUGCUGCAUGGAGGCAGCAGUCUCGUGUUGCGAAAUGUUAGAUUAUU